CUACGGGCGGCUGCAGUGAGGAAUAUUGCACAAUGGGGGGAACCCUGAUGCAGCAACGCCGCGUGGAGGAUGACGCAUUUCAGUGUGUAAACUCCUUUUAUAUGUCAAGAAAAUGACGGUAGCAUAUGAAUAAGCACCGGCUAACUCCGUGCCAGCAGCCGCGGUAAUACGGAGGGUGCAAGCGUUACUCGGAAUCACUGGGCGUAAAGGACGCGUAGGCGGGUUGGAAAGUCAGGUGUGAAAUCCUACAGCUUAACUGUAGAACUGCACUUUAAACUUCUAAUCUAGAGUAUGGGAGGGGGAGAUGGAAUUAGUGGUGUAGGGGUAAAAUCCGUAGAUAUCACUAGGAAUACCUAAAGCGAAGGCGAUCUCCUGGAACAUUACUGACGCUAAGGCGUGAAAGCGUGGGGAGCAAACAGGAUUAGAUACCCUAGUAGUC
rnacentral:rRNA from 1 species